rnacentral:rRNA from 1 species
GAUGAACGCUAGCGGCAGGCUUAACACAUGCAAGUCGAGGGGUAUAAGUCUUCGGAUUUAGAGACCGGCGCACGGGUGCGUAACGCGUAUGCAAUCUGCCUUUCACAGAGGGAUAGCCCAGAGAAAUUUGGAUUAAUACCUCAUAGUAUUAUAGGAUGGCAUCAUUUUAUAAUUAAAGUCACAACGGUGAAAGAUGAGCAUGCGUCCCAUUAGCUAGUUGGUAAGGUAACGGCUUACCAAGGCAACGAUGGGUAGGGUCCUGAGAGGGAGAUCCCCCACACUGGUACUGAGACACGGACCAGACUCCUACGGGAGGCAGCAGUGAGGAAUAUUGGUCAAUGGGCGCAAGCCUGAACCAGCCAUGCCGCGUGCAGGAUGACGGUCC